UGACACGCGAGACGCUUGCACAAGUACUCCCGCUUUACUUCCUGUCCCGUGUUUUGCGAGGAGUGCGGGGGCAACGACUGGACGGGGAUUAUCCACGAACAAAUAAUAACGAAUCAUAACAAAACGAUGGUCUGACUGUUGAUCAAAGCUAGCAUCUAUGUGGUGAGGAAGAUCCGGGCUUCCGUUGCUGAGGGCGAGCAAUUGGAAAAGCCAGUCUUAACACCAUGUAGUGCUUUAGCUGAAAGAAGAGAGCAGCACGGGUCAAGCGGUAAUUCAAAAGCAACCAUCAUGGUCCCCGGAGCUGAUGAUGAAGACAUCAGUAAGACAGCAGUCCCAGGGCCGUCCACAGAGACAGCUGUGCAGAAGUGCGGCUCCUGAGCUUAAAGAUGACACUGGAUAACAGGACAAGGCAAACCAAUAAUGACAAAUGCUAGCCUUUGAAAUUAAUUAUUUGUUUUAUACGGUUAUUGGCUAAAAUACGUGUCGAUUGGAGCAGAAUCCCUCCCGCAUACGCAUAACCAUACACAUACUCACAUCGGUGAUUAACAAAAAGUGUUUUAAAGUUUACUGCGGUUGUUUAGAAAUCCGAAAACUAAUUCGUUGAUGUUGUGACUACCGACAUUGAUCUUGAUUGGUGGCACAGAAUAAUGUUAUUCCCCAGCUCUCAUCCUUGUCCAGUGUCUAUACCAUAGUCAGUGGUCUGUAUUCAGUACCAGACCACAGGCUCACAUUCACUGUCUGCAGUGCUUGAUGGCCUGCUCACCAACCCCUCUCUCCAGGGCAUGAGCAGGCCUGAUGUCUCCCCGCUGCAGUAACUUUGUCAGACAUUGUCAAAAAAUGAUAAUAAAAAUAUAUUAAAAAAACACAUAUUGAAA